AUACGUAGGGCGCGAGCGUUGUCCGGAUUUACUGGGUGUAAAGGGUGCGUAGGCGGCUCUGCAAGUCAGUUGUGAAACCCAUCGGCUUAACUGAUGUACUGCAUUUGAAACUGUGGGGCUUGAGUGGAGUAGAGGCAGACGGAAUUCCCGGUGUAGCGGUGAAAUGCGUAGAGAUCGGGAAGAACACCAGUGGCGAAGGCGGUUUGCUGGGCUCUAACUGACGCUGAGGCACGAAAGCAUGGGUAGCAAACAGGAUUAGAUACCCUGGUAGUCCAUGCCGUAAACGAUGAUUACUAGGUGUGGGGAGUCUGACCCUCUCCGUGCCGGAGUUAACACAAUAAGUAAUCCACCUGGGAAGUACGACCGCAAGGUUGAA
rnacentral:rRNA from 1 species